UUGGCUGCCUCCCAGGUCAACCAACGGCUGGGAAGCCGUCUCCGCGCGCUUCCUCCUUCCUCCUCCUCCUCCUCCCGGCUCCCGCCGGCCCCUCCUCCCGCUCGCGCGCCCUCCCUCCUCUUCCCCUCCCGGCCGCCGCCGCCGCCUCCUCCUCCCCCUCCUCCCUUUCUCUCUCGGUCGCUCUGGGCCCCGACUCCAUUCCGGCCUGGGAGCCGGCGCGGCCAGGCCGCCGUCAGUCCGCUCGCCCCGGCCCCACCGGCCGUCCUCGCGCCUCCGUCUGUCCAUCCGCCCGUGCGCCCGCCCGAGGCCCAGAGCAGCACGUGAGGGCUCUGAGAGGUGGACCCAUUCGCCCAGCGAUGAGAGGCAGAGCCAGGCGUUGAAGCUAGCACUGGCAUCUCAUGUAGGUGCCAGUUUGAAUCCUGGUUGCUCCAUUUCUGGUCCAGCUCCGUGCUCACGUACCUGGGAAAACAGUGGAGGAUGCCUGAAGUCCUUGGACCUCCCCUGCCCCCCAUGUGGGAGAUCCAGAAGAAGCUCCUGGCUUCUGGCUUCUGUGUGGCCCAGCCCCAGCCACUGUGGUCAUCUGGGGAGCAAACCAGCCCAUGGAAGAUCUCUCU